UGGACACUGCUACCCUGCUGGGGGCCAUGGUUCUCAGCUGAGUGCUGCUCUGGGACUCCCCCUCAGUGGAGGAGAGCUGCACUGCCUGCCCCCUCCUCCCUCUAGAAGGCACCAGCAUCAGAGCCUGGCUGAGCAGGGAGUGGAAGGCCCCGCUCCUCUCCUCCAGUGACAGCAGCUCUGGGGCUCCUCUGGCUUCUGUGGGGGCAGCUGAGAUGCUGCUUCUUCUCUCCUCAGGUGGGAGGGACCCUGAUGUGUGUGCUGAGAACAUUCCAGGAAGCUCCUUGAUCCCCUGUGUCCAUCACACAGGGCACUUCCUAUGGAAAGCCAGCUCCAGGAGAGGUCUGGGAAUCAGACUCUACACUGUGAGUUUGAACCUGGGACUCAUCAGCUGGCUGGUAACAUGGCCCCAGUGCUGGAGGUCAGUGACACCUGGGCAGGCACUGGCCUGUGUUGAGGUGCCCUUGUUCACUCUUUCACCAGAAAUAAAGUGGUUUAACCUCAAGAAGGGAGUUCUCUUGGCAUCUGGUGCUUGAACAUAAGUUAGGAAAUGGUUGGUAUUAGGCUCUAGCAUUGGAGGGCUAUUUCUGGGCAUCAGUCCCUCUGGGGAAUGACAAUGAGAAGCUAAACGUGAGAAGCUAAAGCUGACCACAGUCACAGCAGGAUGGCUGCCAAUUAACUCUGCUGCAAAGACAUCCAGUGGCAUUUUCCACGUCCCAUCCCAACAAAAAUGCUUCUCCUGCAUCAUGUAAUCCUCGCUGCCUCCCAGAAAGGAGAAGUGCUGUGGUUCCAGAGAGAAUCUGGGAUGCCCACAGGCACAUGUCCCAUGGGCUGGCCCUCAGGAUGCAGUUUUCAUGCUGGUGUCAGAGGAAACUGGGAGAGUCUUAGAUCAAUAACUGAAGCCUCCUCCCACAGAAGCAAUAAAAGAAGAUCCAUAUGAACCCCAAGCAGGCAGAAUAAGGGAAAUAAUAAAGAAGAGAAAAGAGUCAUAAUUCAAUAAAAUGGAAUAUAUGGAAGUAAUAGAGAAGAUAAUUGAAACACAAAGUUGAUCCCUUUAAAAGAUCAAUAAAAUUGAAAAUUCUCUUGCACUGAUGAUAAUGAUGACGGUGAUGAUGAUGAUGAUAAGAGAGAGAG
rnacentral:lncRNA from 1 species